rnacentral:rRNA from 1 species
CGCGGCUGAUUAUGCUAGUUGGCGGGGUAAUGGCCCACCAAGGCGAAGAUCGGUAGCCGGCCUGAGAGGGCUCACGGCCACACUGGCACUGAAACACGGGCCAGACUCCUACGGGAGGCAGCAGUGGGGAAUCUUGCACAAUGGACGAAAGUCUGAUGCAGCGACGCCGCGUGAGCGAUGAAGCCCUUCGGGGUGUAAAGCUCUUUCGACGGGAAAGAUUAUGACGGUACCCGAAGAAGAAGCUGCGGCUAACUACGUGCCAGCAGCCGCGGUAAUACGUAGGCAGCAAGCGUUGUUCGGAAUUACUGGGCGUAAAGAGUGUGUAGGCGGUGCUCUAAGUCUGUUGUGAAAUCUCCCGGCUUAACCGGGAGGGUGCGGCGGAAACUGGGGUGCUUGAGGGUGGGAGAGGUAAGCGGAAUUCCUGGUGUAGCGGUGAAAUGCGUAGAUAUCAGGAGGAACACCUGUGGUGUAGACAGCUUACUGGACCACUUCUGACGCUGAGACACGAAAGCGUGGGUAGCAAACAGGAUUAGAUACCCUGGUAGUCCACGCCCUAAACGAUGCAUACUUGGUGUGAGCGAUUCAUUUCGUUCGUGCCGGAGCUAACGCGUUAAGUAUGCCGCC